GAGAUUAGCUCAGUCGGUUUAGAGCACCUGCCUUACAAGCAGGGGGUCAACGGUUCGAAUCCGCUAUCUC
rnacentral:tRNA from 1 species